AAACAAGGCUGGGGCUAGACUGUAACAGAGGACCAGCCACUGCAGUAUCCCAAGUCACUAGCAACUAUGGAACACUGAUAUGCACUUACUGACUGGUGGCACCUUUGUCUGUCAAGUAAGUGGAAGGAACAAGAACUGUCUGCUUCUCCACACCCAAAAUGCAGGAAGCCUCAUCUAGUGUCAUAGAGGUUUCAACAGUGAUACAUUUAGGCUGGAGGUUGUACGUCUUCUGCUCUGCUUCUCAGCCAGGAAAAUGGAGUCUUCAAUCUGAUCAGGAAACAUUUAAGAAAGUGCUGGCUACCUACUGGGACAUGUCUGUUGUGUUCUGUAGGGAAGAGCUCCAGAAGCAGAGGUGGAAUUGUUAUUGGCUUGGAG